rnacentral:rRNA from 1 species
UACGGGAAGGCAGCAGUGGGGAAUAUUGCACAAUGGGCGAAAGCCUGAUGCAGCUAUGCCGCGUGUAUGAAGAAGGCCUUAGGGUUGUAAAGUACUUUCAUCGGGGAGGAAAAAACAAAACUAAUAAUUUUAUUUCUUGACGUUACCCGAAAAAGAAGCACCGGCUAACUCCGUGCCAGCAGCCGCGGUAAUACGGAGGGUGCUAGCGUUAAUCAGAAUUACUGGGCGUAAAGAGCACGUAGGUGGUUUUUUUAAGUCAGAUGUGAAAUCCCUGGGCUUAACCUGGAACUGCAUUUUGAAACUGAAAUACUAGAGUAUCGUAGAGGGAGGUAGAAUUCUAGGUGUAGCGGUGAAAUGCGUAGAUAUCUGGAGGAAUACCUGUGGCGAAAGCGGCCUCCUAAACGAAUACUGACACUGAGGUGCGAAAGCGUGGGGAGCAAACAGGGAUUAGGAUACC